rnacentral:rRNA from 1 species
GACGAACGCUGGCGGCGUGCCUAAUACAUGCAAGUCGAGCGGACGGAUGGGAGCUUGCUCCCAGACCGUCAGCGGCGGACGGGUGAGUAACACGUGGGCAACCUGCCUGUAAGACUGGGAUAACUCCGGGAAACCGGGGCUAAUACCGGAUAACUCUUUCCCUCACAUGAGGGAAAGCUGAAAGAUGGCAUCUCGCUAUCACUUACAGAUGUGCCCGCGGGGCAUGAGCUAGUUGGUGAGGUAACGGCUCACCAAGGCGACGAUGCGUAGCCGACCUGAGGGGGUGAUCGGCCACACUGGGACUGAGACACGGCCCAGACUCCUACGGGAGGCAGCAGUAGGGAAUCUUCCGCAAUGGACGAAAGUCUGACGGAGCAACGCCGCGUGAGUGAUGAAGGUUUUCGGAUCGUAAAACUCUGUUGUCAGGGAAGAACAAGUACCGGAGUAACUGCCGGUACCUUGACGGUACCUGACCAGAAAGCCACGGCUAACUACGUG